GGCUGUCGUCAGCUCGUGUCGUGAGAUGUUCGGUUAAGUCCGCUAACGAGCGCAACCCUUGCUGCGUGUUACAUGUGUCACGCGGGACUGCCGGUCUUAAGCCGGAGGAAGGUGGGGAUGAAGUCAAGUCAGCAUGGCCUUUAUAUCCUGGGCUACACACACGCUACAAUGGCCAGUACAACAGGUUGCGAAGCCGCGAGCGGAGCCAAUCCCUAAAGCUGGUCUCAGUUCAGAUUGCAGGCUGCAACCCGCCUGCAUGAAGUUGGAGUUGCUAGUAACUGCAGGUCAGCUAUACUCGCGGUUCCGAAUACGUUCCGGCCUU
rnacentral:rRNA from 1 species